AGACGACAAAAUUUGUAUAAGACGCUU
rnacentral:sRNA from 1 species